AAAAAAAAAAAGGUUGAUACUGUAAAGCGCUUGUUGAUUAAAAAAUUACCUCCUGUUCUUGCUAUUCAGCUAAAACGAUUUGACUAUGACUGGGAAAGAGAAUGUGCAAUCAAGUUCAAUGAUUAUUUUGAAAUUCCUCGAGAGCUAGACAUGGAACCUUACACGGUUGCAGGUGUCGCAAAGCUGGAAGGAGAUAAUGUAAACCCAGAGAGUCAGUUGAUACAACAGAGUGAGCAGUCUGAAAGUGAAACAGCAGGAAGCACAAAAUACAGACUUGUGGGUGUGCUUGUGCACAGUGGUCAGGCGAGUGGGGGGCAUUAUUAUUCUUACAUCAUCCAAAGGAAUGAUGGAGAUGGUGAGAGAAAUCGCUGGUAUAAAUUUGAUGAUGGUGAUGUAACAGAAUGUAAAAUGGAUGAUGAUGAGGAAAUGAAAAACCAGUGUUUUGGUGGAGAGUACAUGGGAGAAGUGUUUGAUCACAUGAUGAAGCGUAUGUCAUACAGGCGCCAGAAAAGGUGGUGGAAUGCUUAUAUACUUUUUUAUGAACAAAUGGACACAAUAGACCAAGAUGAUGAGUUGAUAAGAUACAUAUCAGAGCUUGCUGUCACCACCAGACCUCAUCAGAUUAUUAUGCCGUCAGCCAUUGAGAGAAGUGUGCGGAAACAGAAUGUACAAUUCAUGCAUAGCCGAAUGCAGUACAGUUUGGAGUAUUUUCAGUUUAUGAAAAAACUGCUUACAUGUAAUGGCGUUUACUUAAACCCUCCUCCCGGGCAAGAUCACCUGUUACCUGAAGCAGAAGAAAUCACUAUGAUCAGUAUUCAACUUGCUGCUAGGUUCCUCUUUACUACAGGAUUUCACACAAAGAAAGUAGUCCGUGGCUCUGCCAGUGAUUGGUAUGAUGCAUUGUGUAUUCUCCUUCGUCACAGCAAGAAUGUACGUAUUUGGUUUGUUCAUAAUGUCCUUUUUAAUGUUUCAAAUCGCUUCUCCGAAUACCUUCUGGAGUGCCCUAGUGCAGAAUUGAGGGGUGCAUUUUCAAAACUUAUAGCCUUUAUUGCACAUUUUUCCUUGCAAGAUGGGCCAUGUCCUUCACAUUUUGCAUCUCCUGGACCUUCUAGUCAGGCUUAUGACAACUUAAGCUUGAGUGAUCACUUACUGAGAGCAAUACUAAAUCUCUUGACGAGGGAAGUUUCAGAGCAUGGGCGUCAUUUACAGCAGUAUUUCAACCUGUUUGUAAUGUAUGCCAAUUUAGGUGUGGCAGAGAAGACACAGCUUCUGAAAUUGAGUGUACCUGCUACCUUUAUGCUUGUGUCUUUAGAUGAAGGUCCAGGUCCUCCAAUCAAAUAUCAGUAUGCUGAAUUAGGCAAAUUAUACUCAGUAGUGUCACAGCUGAUCCGCUGUUGCAAUGUCUCUUCAAGAAUGCAGUCUUCAAUCAAUGGUAAUCCUCCUCUUCCCAAUCCUUUUGGUGACCCUAAUUUAUCACAACCUAUAAUGCCAAUUCAGCAGAAUGUGGCAGACAUUUUAUUUGUGAGAACAAGUUAUGUGAAGAAAAUCAUUGAAGACUGCAGUAAUUCAGAGGAAACUGUCAAAUUGCUUCGUUUUUGCUGCUGGGAAAAUCCUCAGUUCUCAUCUACUGUCCUCAGUGAACUUCUCUGGCAGGUUGCAUAUUCCUAUACCUAUGAACUGUGGCCCUAUCUGGAUCUGCUUUUGCAAAUCUUACUGAUUGAAGACUCCUGGCAAACUCACAGAAUCCAUAAUGCACUGAAAGGAAUUCCAGAUGACCGAGAUGGGCUGUUUGACACAAUCCAGCGCUCUAAGAAUCACUAUCAAAAAAGAGCAUACCAGUGUAUAAAAUGUGCGGUAGCUCUAUUUAGUAACUGUCCUGUUGCUUACCAAAUCUUGCAGGGAAAUGGAGAUCUUAAAAGAAAGUGGACCUGGGUGGUGGAAUGGCUUGGAGAUGAACUUGAAAGAAGACCAUAUACUGGCAAUCCUCAGUACACUUACAACACUUGGUCUCCCCCAGUGCAAAGCAAUGAGACAUCAAAUGGUUAUUUCUUGGAGAGAUCACAUAGUGCUAGGAUGACACUUGCUAAAGCUUGUGAACUCUGUCCAGAGGAGGAGCCAGAUGACCAAGAUGCCCCAGAUGAACAUGAGUCGCCUCCACCUGAAGAUGCCCCAUUGUACCCCCAUUCACCUGGAUCUCAGUAUCAACAGAAUAAUCAUGUGCAUGGACAGCCAUAUACAGGCCCAGCAGCACAUCACAUGAACAACCCUCAGAGAACUGGCCAACGAGCACAAGAAAAUUAUGAAGGCAGUGAAGAAGUAUCCCCACCUCAAACCAAGGAUCAAUGAAAUGCACAUAAUUAACUGGUUCCAUCAAGACUGUGCACCCAGGCCUUACAGUCCAAACUUUUUCUGUGUCUGGCUAAUAUUUAAAACUAGAAAAACUACUCCUAAUCAACAUGGAGUGGAGAGUUUAUUCACUGUCUUAUCUGCAGAAACUUGCUGUCAAUAUAUAACCCGCCUGCAGUGGAAAGUGUAUAGUGUUUUGUAAUAAAUGGCCUGAUGCUAAUGUGUAAAUGGCAAAGGUGUAUAUAGUAUAUUAAUGUUGACUGUUAAUUCUUAAGCAAGAAACUUUUUUCUUGUUGAGACUCACAGAUCUACAAAAACUACAAAAGUUAAUUUUCUUGUUAUACCCACUGCACUCUGCAACCAGUGUUGCCUGCCUCAUGGCAGUAGAAUCAGCUCCUUUACAAAAAAAAAAAAAAAAAAAA